UACGUAGGGGGCAAGCGUUGUCCGGAUUUAUUGGGCGUAAAGAGCGUGUAGGCGGCCAGAUAGGUCCGUUGUGAAAACUGGAGGCUUAACCUCCAGCUGUCGAUGGAAACCAUUUGGCUAGAGUCCGGAAGAGGAGAGUGGAAUUCCUGGUGUAGCGGUGAAAUGCGCAGAUAUCAGGAAGAACACCCGUGGCGAAGGCGGCUCUCUGGGACGGUACUGACGCUGAGACGCGAAGCGUGGGAGCAACAGG
rnacentral:rRNA from 1 species